rnacentral:rRNA from 1 species
GCCUAGCCGUAACACACUAUAAUCGUUCGCCAACAACUACGAGUGAUAACUUAAAACUUAAAAGACUUGACGGUACUUCAUCCAGCSUAGAGGAGCCUGUCUAAUAACCGACAACCCACGAUUAACCCGACCCUUUCUUGCCAACAGUCUAUAUACCGCCGUCGUCAGCCUACCUUGUAAAAGCAAUAAAGUAGGCUCAAUAGCACCACACUAAAACGACAGGUCGAGGUGUAACCCAUGAAAAGGACUAAGAUGGACUACAUUCUCAAGCCGAGAACACGGAUAAUACUAUGAAAAUAGCAUUUGAAGGCGGAUUUAGUAGUAAGAUAAGAAUAAAAUACCUAACUGAACAUAACGCAAUGAAGUGCGUACACACCGCCCGUCAUCCCUGCCACCAC